GAUCCGCUUAGCGGGUCGGGCCCCUGAGUGGUUUUGAGGGCCAUUUUGGGAGCCAUUUGGGAGCCGAGUUCGGGGUCUGGCUCCCGGGCGGCUCCC
rnacentral:tRNA from 1 species